UACGUAGGGGGCGAGCGUUGUCCGGCAUUAUUGGGCGUAAAGAGCGUGUAGGCGGUUCGGUAAGUCUGUCGGGAAAUCCUGGGGCUCAACCUCGGGCGUGCGAUGGAUACUGCCGGGCUAGAGGGUGGUAGAGGCGAGUGGAAUUCCCGGUGUAGCGGUGAAAUGCGCAGAUAUCGGGAGGAACACCAGUAGCGAAGGCGGCUCGCUGGGCCACACCUGACGCUGAGACGCGAAAGCUAGGGGAGCGAACAGG
rnacentral:rRNA from 1 species